GAUGAACGCUGGCGGCGUGCCUAAUACAUGCAAGUCGAGCGAACGGACGAGAAGCUUGCUUCUCUGAUGUUAGCGGCGGACGGGUGAGUAACACGUGGAUAACCUACCUAUAAGACUGGGAUAACUUCGGGAAACCGGAGCUAAUACCGGAUAAUAUUUUGAACCGCAUGGUUCAAAAGUGAAAGACGGUCUUGCUGUCACUUAUAGAUGGAUCCGCGCUGCAUUAGCUAGUUGGUAAGGUAACGGCUUACCAAGGCAACGAUGCAUAGCCGACCUGAGAGGGUGAUCGGCCACACUGGAACUGAGACACGGUCCAGACUCCUACGGGAGGCAGCAGUAGGGAAUCUUCCGCAAUGGGCGAAAGCCUGACGGAGCAACGCCGCGUGAGUGAUGAAGGUCUUCGGAUCGUAAAACUCUGUUAUUAGGGAAGAACAUAUGUGUAAGUAACUGUGCACAUCUUGACGGUACCUAAUCAGAAAGCCACGGCUAACUACGUGCCAGCAGCCGCGGUAAUACGUAGGUGGCAAGCGUUAUCCGGAAUUAUUGGGCGUAAAGCGCGCGUAGCGGUUUUUUAAGUCUGAUGUGAAAGCCCACGGCUCAACCGUGGAGGGUCAUUGGAAACUGGAAAACUUGAGUGCAGAAGAGGAAAGUGGAAUUCCAUGUGUAGCGGUGAAAUGCGCAGAGAUAUGGAGGAACACCAGUGGCGAAGGCGACUUUCUGGUCUGUAACUGACGCUGAUGUGCGAAAGCGUGGGGAUCAAACAGGAUUAGAUACCCUGGUAGUCCACGCCGUAAACGAUGAGUGCUAAGUGUUAGGGGGUUUCCGCCCCUUAGUGCUGCAGCUAACGCAUUAAGCACUCCGCCUGGGGAGUACGACCGCAAGGUUGAAACUCAAAGGAAUUGACGGGGACCCGCACAAGCGGUGGAGCAUGUGGUUUAAUUCGAAGCAACGCGAAGAACCUUACCAAAUCUUGACAUCCUUUGACAACUCUAGAGAUAGAGCCUUCCCCUUCGGGGGGGCAAAGUGACAGGUGGUGCAUGGUUGUCGUCAGCUCGUGUCGUGAGAUGUUGGGUUAAGUCCCGCAACGAGCGCAACCCUUAAGCUUAGUUGCCAUCAUUAAGUUGGGCACUCUAAGUUGACUGCCGGUGACAAACCGGAGGAAGGUGGGGAUGACGUCAAAUCAUCAUGCCCCUUAUGAUUUGGGCUACACACGUGCUACAAUGGACAAUACAAAGGGCAGCGAAACCGCGAGGUCAAGCAAAUCCCAUAAAGUUGUUCUCAGUUCGGAUUGUAGUCUGCAACUCGACUACAUGAAGCUGGAAUCGCUAGUAACCGUAGAUCAGCAUGCUACGGUGAAUACGUUCCCGGGUCU
rnacentral:rRNA from 1 species